GAUGAACGCUAGCGGCAGGCUUAAUACAUGCAAGUCGUGGGGCAGCAUGAGUAGCAAUACUUGAUGGCGACCGGCAAACGGGUGAGGAACACGUACACAACCUUCCUUCAAGCGGGGAAUAGCCCAGAGAAAUUUGGAUUAAUACCCCAUAAUAUAUUUGAUAAGGCAUCUUAUUAAUAUUAAAGCUUCGGCACUUGAUGAUGGGUGUGCGGCUGAUUAGAUAGUUGGCGGGUAACGGCCCACCAAGUCUACGAUCAGUAGCUGAUGUGAGAGCAUGAUCAGCCACACGGGCACUGAGACACGGGCCCGAUCCUACGGGAGGCAGCAGUAAGGAAUAUUGGACAAUGGACGAAAGUCUGAUCCAGCCAUGCCGCGUGAAGGACUAAGGUCCCCUGGAUUGUAAACUUCUUUAUAUGGACGAAAAAGGC
rnacentral:rRNA from 1 species